rnacentral:rRNA from 1 species
UGAAAAUACACUCCCGGGGCCUUCAAUCAUGCGUAAGCUGCAUUUCGAAAGCUGGGCAGGGCUAGAGUCAUUGUAGACGGGAGGGUAGAAUUACCAGGUGUAGCGGUGAAAUGCGUAGAGAUCUGGAGGAAUACCGGUGGCGAAGGCGGCCCCCCUGGACAAAGACUGACGCUCAGGUGCGAAAGCGUGGGGAGCAAACAGGAUUAGAUACCUUGGUAGUCCACGCCGUAAACGAUGUCGACUUGGAGGUUGUUCCCUUGAGGAGUGGCUUCCGGAGCUAACGCGUUAAGUCGACCGCCUGGGGAGUACGGCCGCAAGGUUAAAACUCAAAUGAAUUGACGGGGGCCCGCACAAGCGGUGGAGCAUGUGGUUUAAUUCGAUGCAACGCGAAGAACCUUACCUACUCUUGACAUCCACGGAAUUUAGCAGAGAUGCUUUAGUGCCUUCGGGAACCGUGAGACAGGUGCUGCAUGGCUGUCGUCAGCUCGUGUUGUGAAAUGUUGGGUUAAGUCCCGCAACGAGCGCAACCCUUAUCCUUUGUUGCCAGCGGUUCGGCCGGGAACUCAAAGGAGACUGCCAGUGAUAAACUGGAGGAAGGUGGGGAUGACGUCAAGUCAUCAUGGCCCUUACGAGUAGGGCUACACACGUGCUACAAUGGCGCAUACAAAGAGAAGCGACCUCGCGAGAGCAAGCGGACCUCAUAAAGUGCGUCGUAGUCCGGAUUGGAGUCUGCAACUCGACUCCAUGAAGUCGGAAUCGCUAGUAAUCGUAGAUCAGAAUGCUACGGUGAAUACGUUCCCGGGCCUUGUACACACCGCCCGUCACACCAUGGGAGUGGGUUGCAAAAGAAGUAGGUAGCUUAACCUUCGGGAGGGCGCUACCACUUGUAUUCAAA